GAGGGGGGUGGUUUUGGAGGAGCUUAAUUAUUGUUUUCCUACCUUUUAUAAUUGCUCAGCAUCUCUAAUCCCAGGCUCCUGUAAACACGCACGGGUUUCAGAGAAACAGAGAGAGAAAAAAACAACCACAAACUCUGAGUCAACGUCACGUUCUCGCUGAAGAAACUGUGCAGAACUAGAACACCAGCUCUGUCCAGGAGGAACUGCUGCUGCUGCCAGAUGUGCUGACAGCAGCCCCCCCCCAGGUGGGACAUAUAUCAACAUAUGCUGUAUAUGUGUAAUUAUUAUUUUUCUUUUCCAGCCUGAGGACACGUGUGCCUGUUUUCCUCCUGCAGUAAGUCGUUAAUGGUCCGUGGCGUCCACACCAACACUCCAGCCCUGGGCGGGUGUAAAGUGGGUCGAGUCGCUGCGACGUUUGGGUUUGUUAGCCUAAUGUGUCCCACGGGACUCGAACACCUGACUCAGCAGAGUGAUGUCACGCCAACACUUGGAGGGUGGGACUGAGGGGGUAAUUAACAGAAACGUUAGACGGUUUCAUCAUUGCCCCGGGCUGUUUUUUUACAACAGUUCAACUGUUCGUGUCAUGUCACAGCACAACAUGGUGGUCCAAAAAAAAAAAUAUUAUUAAAUUAAUAAUCAGUGAUUUUUAUUUUGACACGCUAGAAGAACAGAGUCUCCUCUGUGUUCCUGAACUGUGCUGUGAUUGGUCAAUACAUCUCCCAGGUGGAUUUUUUUAUUAUUAUUAUUUUAUUCUUUCUUCUGUCUCCCUGUGUCUUGUGUCGUUAUAUUUUAUUACGUUAGAGAUCAUUUUCUCAUUAUUACUUUUAUUAUUUUGACAUUACCAGUGGUUUUUUUCCCCUUUCUUUCUGAGUGCAUUUAAAGGUGAGUGUUUUAACUGGCCUCAGGUCAGAUAUCGCAAUUACAACCUGCAGUGACAUCAUCCAGCUGCCAAUGGCCUAACACCAAUACUUUUAUGUUUCCCAGGUGACUGACUCCCUGCUGUCGUCUCUGCUGGUCUCACACUGGCCGACCCACACUCCUCUCUUGGACCUCUUGUCUUCCACUGGGCGAUUAAGGACCUACAGAGAAGUUCUUCCUCUCUGGAUGUUUUCUUACAAUCCUUCCAGACCAAUAAACGACCAGAACCCACAGUAAUUCCCAGUUGCCGUGGAGACGAACUGCAGACUCAGUACACCAAGGAUGUCUUCAGGGUGGACAGAAGCUGAGGAAAUGUGGAAAUCUGUUGCUAUUUCUGUCUUUUUUCCUGGAUUGGACGUCCAGCGCGGAGCCUCCACGGUGGCGGACCAGACUGUGACCUCUGGCUGUCACACACCGGAGGAAGGCGUGGCCCAGUGGAGCAGAGUGUUACUUCAACCAACCGAAAGAAAUCGUAUCUUUUUAUCGGGAGAGGAAACAGUUCCAACGAGCUGGAACGCAGCCUCACUUUGAGCAGCCGUGGCCUCAUCACUUUCAGACAUUUCCUCAUGUCGGCAGGCACCGCGUUGGCGACCUCUACCCGCCGUCAUGGAAACAACAUGCAGGCGCCAUCUUAGUCCGGGCGAUGAAGCGUCACUCAUCUUUUUAUUUCAUGACCUACUUUAGUGAUUCUGACUGACCUCCAAAUUUGACCUGAGCAUAUUCAGUCUCCUGUCACUCCUCAGUGAUAGGUUUCCAAUUGUGGGGAUGUGGAGGCCGUGUGAGCCGCGAGGUGACGAACAAGGAUCCCCAGCUCCCGUCAUUCCAACCUCGGAGUCAGAGCAGCGACGCUGUGCAGCCACUGGCACCUGUUACACACCACUGCCCUAAAAGGAGACACUGGAGCCAAUCAGAGCCAGAGCUGGUCACACAAGCCUGUCUCUGCGAUCUGUCGUCUGCUGGAGGUCUUGUGCACCGUCCCGCACCCAC